UACGGAGGGUGCGAGCGUUGUCCGGAAUCAUUGGGCGUAAAGCGCACGUAGGCGGCAUUGCAAGUCGGAUGUGAAAUCUUAUGGCUUAACCAUAAAAGUGCAUCCGAAACUGCAGUGCUUGAGUACUUAAGAGGAUCGCGGAAUUCCCGGUGUAGAGGUGAAAUUCGUAGAUAUCGGGAGGAACACCAGUGGCGAAGGCGGCGAUCUGGGAAGAUACUGACGCUGAGGCGCGAAAGCUAGGGUAGCAAACGGG
rnacentral:rRNA from 1 species